GGUACAUUUGUUUACUCAUCAAAUGCUCUGGUCUGAAUCUUACUUUAAAUUAACUUAAUUAUAUGUUUAAUGAGCAAUAUUGCUCAUUGCACACAGAGUAAGAUUAUCUUGUUUCACAGAAGAGAAGGAAGACCAAGGAAAUGAUUUGCUCAGGAUGAGAAAUGAAGAUGGUCAUCUUGUGCUCAAGCAAACAGAAGUCCUCUGAUGAUCUCAUCAAACCAAACGAGGGGUUUUGACCAAGUGAUGCUCUUGAAAGGAGUGAAAGAAGAGGAUGUGGUAAAUUGUCUUCAGAGAAAAACCUUCUCUAAAGGUCUUAAAACAGCUUGAAGAAUGGUCUGGGAUCUUAGGACUGGGAGAUCUCACUUGCACCCAGUUAACCUCCAUAGAGAACAUUUAUCAGAAGCGCUGUCUGGGUAGGGCAAGAAACAUCAUCAAGGAUGCCUCUCACCCUAACCAUGGACCUUUCACCCUCCAUCCAUCCGGCAGGCGUUACAGGAGCCUACGCUCUCGAACUAGUAGACUCAGGAAGAGCUUCUUCCCCGAGGCUGUGACACUCCUGAACACCACACCACCAAUCUAUCCUGCACCUGCUCUUUUACUGCACUGGUCACAGUACUUUACAUACAUGUAUUGCACUACUCAUAUUUUGCACAGACUGCACAUGGUUAAAUCCAUUACACUAUAAACUGUCUAAAGCUGUUACUGUACAAGCACAGUAAACUAUUUCUACAAUAAAUAUAAUUGCACUACUAUUAUUUUGCAUAUAAUUGUUAAACUAUACUUUUGCACACUCA